GGGGUUUGGGGAAGACCUCGCUGAGAGGGAAGCAUUUGAGCUGAGACCUGGGUGAUCUGGAGAGAGAGAGCAGUUAGCUGUCCAGACAGAAGGCACAGCAUGUACAAAGGCCCUGGGACAGGAUGGUGCUUGGUGUGUUGGAGGAACAGUGAGAGGCCAAUGUGGCUGGAGCAGAGACGUGGGAACUCUCAUGUUCAUUUCACAGAUGGGAACACUGAGGCCAGAGAGGUCAAGGACAAAGGUGGCCAGAAUGGGCAUCAAAUGCCAGAGAAAGAGAAUCCGUCCCCACC